rnacentral:rRNA from 1 species
GCAGAACGCGAAGAACCUUACCUAGGCUUGACAUGCAUCUCUAAGCGCGUGAAAGCGCGUGACCCUUCGGGGGAUUUGCACAGGUGCUGCAUGGCCGUCGUCAGCUCGUGUCGUGAGAUGUUGGGUUAAGUCCCGCAACGAGCGCAACCCUUGUGAACAGUUGCCAGCACUUAAGGUGGGAACUCUGUUCAGACUGCCCAGAUCAACUGGGAGGAAGGUGGGGACGACGUCAGGUCAGUAUGGCCCUUACGCCUAGGGCUGCACACGUACUACAAUGCCCAGCACAAUGAGAACCGAGACCGAGAGGUGGAGGAAUCUAAAAAACUGGGCCCAGUUCGGAUUGGAGGCUGCAACUCGCCUCCAUGAAGUUGGAAUCGCUAGUAAUGGCGCAUCAGCUACGGCGCCGUGAAUACGUUCCCGGGUCUUGUACACACCG